UCAAGAUGGAGUUACUCUGGUUCCAGUGU
rnacentral:piRNA from 1 species